rnacentral:rRNA from 1 species
UCCACGCCGUAAACGAUGGAUGCUAGCUGUUGGGAGUAUCGACCCUCUCAGUAGCGAAGCUAACGCGUUAAGCAUCCCGCCUGGGGAGUACGAGCGCAAGCUUAAAACUCAAAGGAAUUGACGGGGACCCGCACAAGCGGUGGAGCGUGUGGUUUAAUUCGAUGAUACGCGAAGAACCUUACCAAGACUUGACAUCCCGAUCGU